GCCCUCGCGGGCAUAUGGUCAAUAUGAAAGAAAACAGAGAAGAUCAGCAUGGUCCCUGCACUAAGGAUGACACAUGAGACGCAAGUGAGCUAAAGUCAUUUU
rnacentral:snRNA from 1 species